GAUGAACGCUAGCGGCAGGCUUAACACAUGCAAGUCGAGGGGUAUAGUUCUUCGGAACUAGAGACCGGCGCACGGGUGCGUAACGCGCAUGCAAUCUACCUUUUACAGGGGAAUAGCCCAGAGAAAUUUGGAUUAAUGCCACAUAGUAUAGUUUAUUCGCAUGAGUAGAUUAUUAAAGUUCCAACGGUAAAAGAUGAACAUGCGUCCCAUUAGCUAGAUGGUAAGGUAACGGCUUACCAUGGCGACGAUGGGAAGGGGUCCUGAGAGGGAGAUCCCCCACACUGGUACUGAGACACGGACCAGACUCCUACGGGAGGCAGCAGUGAGGAAUAUUGGUCAAUGGACGCAAGUCUGAACCAGCCAUGCCGCGUGCAGGAUGACGGUCCUAUGGAUUGUAAACUGCUUUUGUACGAGAAGAAACACUGCUACGUGUAGCAGCUUGACGGUAUCGUAAGAAUAAGGAUCGGCUAACUCCGUGCCAGCAGCCGCCGUAA
rnacentral:rRNA from 1 species